UAAAAAGCUUUUUGAGAGCAGCCGGCGGGCCAGCCUCAGAACCGAUGGGACGGGCGCCCCAGCCGGAGGCAGCCUCCUGGCCCGGCCUCCCGGCCUCCCUCCCUCCGUCCCUCUGCGGCGGACGGCCUCCGGCCCCGGCUCCUGGCUCCCGAGCGCAGAAUCAGAGAGCAAAGGGAUCCGGCUUUAAGGAUGGCCUCAUCAGGAGGUGAUCAUCUUAUGGGGCAGCUCUAGGGGAUGGAGAUGAAAGGACCCUUGAAGAAGGCCUCCCACCCGGGCUGGCCAUUGAUUCCUUCCAGAGGAUGGCACUCCUACUUUCAGAACAGAUAAAGUAACAGGUCCAGAGAGUGAUUUGUUCAGAAUCAUACAGAUUAUAAGUGGUCGAGCCGAGAUUUGAAUCCAAGCCCAGUGAUGUCUUCUUCUUCCCGCUGCAUUACAUUGCCUCUCCAUGUGCACAUGUGCAAAAUAUGUGCAAGGACUAAUAGGAUUGCUGAGUUCCUUCCCAUCCAGAACUCAAUGGUCUCACUACUUCGGUGGAUGGUCUGCCUGAGCCGCCAUGUUUAACCCAAUGCAGAGCCCAGUGGCCAAGCUUCUGGUAGCGAGUCUCUCCAACUGAGCCAGGCUGGGCUUGUCUUAGGCUCCCAGAGUAGGAACUGUCAGUCUGAAGAACUGCCAGCUUGGGCAGGAGUGACCACACUUUGUACUCCCUUGGCCUUUGAGAGCCUCCGUGUCCUGGAGACGGCCUUGGGUGGAGAUUCUCGUCAGUCAGUGAGGUCGGUGCAUGGCUCACAAUUUUUCUCUCCUCUCCAACUUCUGCCCUCAUUCCAGGGGAUAUCAAUAUACAUCUUGCCUCUUCCUCAAACACCUUGACGGUUCAUUCCCUCAACCUACUCACUUCCCCUGAGCUACUACUCAUCCAUUCCCCCUCAGUGCACACAAAGUUGGCCAAACCCUUUAUCUUGCAAAUAUACCAUGUCUGUGUUGAAGAAUUCAGAAAUUUCUUUAAUCUUUUGGCUUUUCACCUCUUCCUCUGUUUUCCUUUCUGUAACCCUCUCGACAUCUCAGUUCUCCGUUGUCUCCCUCGCACUAACCACUCUCUCCUCAUUUCCCCAUCUUGACUCCUUGGUGAACCAAUUCAACUUCGCUCUUCAAUCCCUCACCUUAUUUGAGUUAUCAACCCUGAAUCACUUACACUGUUGGUCCCCUUUCCCUCAACAUGUAUUUUACUGAAUGAAGAUGAAGAAAUACAAUUGUUCUGGUUGGGUCCAUUACCAACUUGGGUACACAACUCAACAGGACCCUUGCUGUUCUUCAGAAAUUCUACUUUACUUCUUUCAUCAGCUCCACUAGCCCACUCUCUUCCUUGGCUCUUCCAAACAUUUUCAUCCUUUUUUGAACUUCCCAUGGCUUCCUUUCUCCAACUCUCUCAGUUAAAACCCUUCUCUUAUUUUACAGAAAAAAUGAUGGCUAUUCACCAUGAGUUUUCUCUUCUCUCCUCUUCCUCCUCUGUCACUCAGGUGCCCUUUAUCACUCUCUUCACCAUAGAUCUCCAUAGAUUAAUCAAUUCCUUAUACAAAAAAGACUUUUUUUUUUCCAGCACAAGAGCACUUCAUUCUCAUUUAUUUUUAUUUAAAUUUUUAUAAUUGAUCCUGCACUUAGCUCUAAAUAACAAGAACAAGAAGAACAAAACAAAUAAGCAUCCAUUUUCAAGUAUUUACAUUUUAAAAUAAAUUUAUUUGUGAGAUGUCUCUAACAGCUUUUUAGUUAAGCUCUUUGAGCCUCAUUGGCUCUCAAAGUCCCUAUUCAUCUCUCUGUUUUUGUUCACAUUUUUCCUUUCAUAUAAUCCUGGUCAGUUUAGUGUUUUUAUUCUUCUAACUCUGCUUUCUUUUUAUAUAAAAAUACUUUUCCUUUCCUUCCUUCCUUCCUUCCU